rnacentral:rRNA from 1 species
UGCCAGCAGCCGCGGUAAUACGAAGGGGGCUAGCGUUGUUCGGAAUUACUGGGCGUAAAGCGCACGUAGGCGGACUAUUAAGUCAGGGGUGAAAUCCCGGGGCUCAACCCCGGAACUGCCUCUGAUACUGGUAGUCUUGAGUUCGAGAGAGGUGAGUGGAAUUCCGAGUGUAGAGGUGAAAUUCGUAGAUAUUGGGAAGAACACCGGUGGCGAAGGCGGCUACCUGGACCGGACCUGACGCUGAGACGCGAAAGCGUGGGGAGCAAACAGGAUUAGAUA